rnacentral:rRNA from 1 species
CAGUCGCCACGGGAAUACGUAGGUGGCAAGCGUUGUCCGGAAUUAUUGGGCGUAAAGGGCUCGCAGGCGGUUUCUUAAGUCUGAUGUGAAAGCCCCCGGCUCAACCUGGGAGGGUCAUUGGAAACUGGGAAACUUGAGUGCAGAAGAGGAGAGUGGAAUUCCACGUGUAGCGGUGAAAUGCGUAGAGAUGUGGAGGAACACCAGUGGCGAAGGCGACUCUCUGGUCUGUAACUGACGCUGAGGAGCGAAAGCGUGGGGAGCGAACAGGAUUAGAUACCCCGGUAGUCCCUGUCUCUUAUAC